rnacentral:rRNA from 1 species
UACGUAGGGUGCGAGCGUUAAUCGGAAUUACUGGGCGUAAAGCGUGCGCAGGCGGUUUUGUAAGCCAGAUGUGAAAUCCCCGGGCUUAACCUGGGAAUGGCAUUUGGGACUGCAAGGCUUGAGUGCGGCAGAGGAGACUGGAAUUCCUGGUGUAGCAGUGAAAUGCGUAGAUAUCAGGAGGAACAUCGAUGGCGGAAGGCAGGUCUCUGGCUGACACUGGACGCGCAUGC